rnacentral:RNase_P_RNA from 1 species
UGAGUGAGCUGGACGGUCGCUGGUAAUGGCUUUUGCCGUUACGAGAGGAAAGUCCGGGCUCCGCAGGACAGGGUGGUCGGCAACUCCGACCGACCGCGAGGUCAGGGAAAGUGCAGCAGAAAGCAAACCGCCGAUGGCGACAAAGAGCUCGCUCGACGUCGCACAGGCAAGGGUGAAACGGUGCGGUAAGAGCGCACCAGCAGCCAGGGUGACCUGGCUGGCUCGGUAAACCCCACCCGGAGCAAAGCCAAGCAGAGAGAAUGCGGCUUCGGUCGCUGCGAACUUGUCCGGCUCGUCAUUACUCUCGGGUAGGCUGCUCGAGGUGUUGAGCAAUCAACAUCCUAGAUAAAUGACCGCCCCUCAUUACGAGGACAGAACCCGGCUUACACGCUCACUCACUAG